CAGGGUAGCAAUACCGCUGACGACCGGCGCACGGGUGAGUAACACGUAUCCAACCUUCCCAUAGCUCAGGGAUAGCCUUUCGAAAGAAAGAUUAAUACCUGAUAGUACUUUUUCAAGGCAUCUUGAGAAAGUUAAAGAUUUAUUGGUUAUGGAUGGGGAUGCGUUCCAUUAGAUAGUUGGUGAGGUAACGGCUCACCAAGUCUUCGAUGGAUAGGGGUUCUGAGAGGAAGGUCCCCCACAUUGGUACUGAGACACGGACCAAACUCCUACGGGAGGCAGCAGUGAGGAAUAUUGGUCAAUGGGCGAGAGCCUGAACCAGCCAAGUAGCGUGAAGGAUGAAGGUCCUAUGGAUUGUAAACUUCUUUUAUAGUAGAAUAAAGUGAUCCACGUGUGGAUUUUUGUAUGUAUACUAUGAAUAAGGAUCGGCUAACUCCGUGCCAGCCGCUGC
rnacentral:rRNA from 1 species